rnacentral:rRNA from 1 species
GAUGAACGCUAGCUACAGGCUUAACACAUGCAAGUCGAGGGGAAACGACAUCGAAAGCUUGCUUUUGAUGGGCGUCGACCGGCGCACGGGUGAGUAACGCGUAUCCAACCUGCCCACCACUUGGGGAUAACCUUGCGAAAGUAAGACUAAUACCCAAUGACGUCUCUAGAAGACAUCUGAAAGGGAUUAAAGAUUUAUCGGUGAUGGAUGGGGAUGCGUCUGAUUAGCUUGUUGGCGGGGUAACGGCCCACCAAGGCAACGAUCAGUAGGGGUUCUGAGAGGAAGGUCCCCCACAUUGGAACUGAGACACGGUCCAAACUCCUACGGGAGGCAGCAGUGAGGAAUAUUGGUCAAUGGGCGAGAGCCUGAACCAGCCAAGUAGCGUGCAGGAUGACGGCCCUAUGGGUUGUAAACUGCUUUUAUAAGGGAAUAAAGUGAGUCUCGUGAGGCUUUUUGCAUGUACCUUAUGAAUAAGGACCGGCUAAUUCCGUG